ACACCGGUUUGGUGGGAGGACGUUUGGCUGAAGGAAGGAUUUGCGCAUUACUUCGAGUACAUCGGGGCUGAUUUCCUCUUUCCAAAGUGGAACAUGGAGAAGCAGAGGUUUCUGACUGAUGUUCUUCAUGAGGUGAUGUUACUGGACGGUUUGGCCAGUUCUCAUCCAAUCUCUCAGGAAGUGUUUGAAGCCACAGACAUCGACAGAGUGUUUGACUGGAUUGCGUAUAAGAAGGGAGCCGCGCUGAUCCGUAUGCUGGCUAACGUCAUGGGACAGCCGCUAUUCCAGAGAGG